UACGGGGGGGAGCAAGCGUUGUUCGGAUUUACUGGGCGUAAAGGGCGCGUAGGCGGUCGUGACAAGUCACUUGUGAAAUCUCCGGGCUUAACUCGGAACGGUCAAGUGAUACUGUCGUGCUAGAGUACAGAAGGGGCAACUGGAAUUCUCGGUGUAGCGGUGAAAUGCGUAGAUAUCGAGAGGAACACCUGAGGUGAAGACGGGUUGCUGGGCCAACACUGACGCUGAUGCGCGAAAGCCAGGGGAGCAAACAGG
rnacentral:rRNA from 1 species